rnacentral:lncRNA from 1 species
CCGGCAGAGAAGGGAGAGGACCGCAGCCAGCCCUUGGAAGUUGGAAGACAAGGCUAAGUUUUCCACUCUCCACUCAAGGCCUCGCCUUCUUGGCUCCAGAUCCUACUCCAACCAGCCCUUCCCCACACCUGCGCUGCCUCAUACUGACUUCUGGGGUCUGGAGAAAGGACACAGUCACCAGUGUGAAGCCCGGGCCUGGUUUCCCCGGGGAGAACAGUCAGCCCAUCUCCCUGCCCAACCUCACCACCUGAGGACCUGUCCAGGCCCUUUGUCUCCGCCUCACACCCCAGCCCUUGGCUGGCUCGGCCUGGCAGUGACCACGGCCCCGGGCUGUCUUCUCUCCACCUUCCCAGGGCCUGGAUGGCCUUUGAGUAAACAGAUAGCCCAGCGAGGUAUGUGAUCAAUUAGCUUUGCUGAAAAUACAAUCAUUUUGUUAUUCCAAGCUGAUGAGAAGGCCUGCUCUCCCAGCCUCCACAUGCCAAUCAGCCCGUGUCACCGAUAUAAUUUUCCACAUAAACACAACCUUUGUGCAACAUCUACUCUUGUAAAUAGAUGUAAUUCCCAAACCAAAUAACGCACUUGGAGGGGAAAUGGAUAUUAUGCAUGCAAAAAGAAAAGCCGGCGAUUUUUACACUUUCCAGGCAACAAAAGAUUACCCCUAAUUGCGAACGGGGGAGGGGCCGGCGGCGGGGCAGGGAGGUGGCCUGCUGCUGGGAAGCCAGGGAGGCCAGCUUUCAGGCAGAUUUUUUUCUCUCUCUGCACAUGUGUGAGCACAGACCACCAGGAACUGCUUAACCGGGGACUUGCCCUGUUUAGGCAACUGGGGAGAACGUGGUUGUUGUUGUUGAUAUCUUAAAGGAAAUGGAGAGUUACUUAAUUAUAAGGUUUGGUCUCUCUUGCCAGGAGAGACCCCCCCUCCAAACCCUAAACUAUACACAUCCUGUUGCAGAACGUCCCC